GACGAACGCUGGCGGCGUGCUUAACACAUGCAAGUCGAACGGAAAGGCCCUGCUUUUGUGGGGUGCUAGAGUGGCGAACGGGUGAGUAACACGUGAGUAACCUGCCCUUGACUUUGGGAUAACUUCAGGAAACUGGGGCUAAUACCGGAUAGGAGCUCCUGCUGCAUGGUGGGGGUUGGAAAGUUUCGGCGGUUGGGGAUGGACUCGCGGCUUAUCAGCUUGUUGGUGGGGUAGUGGCUUACCAAGGCUUUGACGGGUAGCCGGCCUGAGAGGGUGACCGGCCACAUUGGGACUGAGAUACGGCCCAGACUCCUACGGGAGGCAGCAGUGGGGAAUAUUGCACAAUGGGCGGAAGCCUGAUGCAGCAACGCCGCGUGCGGGAUGACGGCCUUCGGGUUGUAAACCGCUUUCGCCUGUGACGAGGCGUGAGUGACGGUAAUGGGUAAAGAAGCACCGGCUAACUACGUG
rnacentral:rRNA from 1 species